UACAGAGGGUGCUAGCGUUGUUCGGAAUCAUUGGGCGUAAAGGGCGUGUAGGCGGUUUGUUAAGUCAUGUGUGAAAUCCCUCGGCUCAACCGGGGAACGACGCAUGAAACUGGCAAGCUAGAGUACCAAAGAGGGGGGUGGAAUUCCCGGUGUAGCGGUGAAAUGCGUAGAUAUUGGGAAGAACACCGGUGGCGAAGGCGGCUCACUGGCUCGUAUCUGACGCUCAGGCGCGACAGCGUGGGGAUCAAACAGG
rnacentral:rRNA from 2 species